rnacentral:pre_miRNA from 1 species
GAUUUCAACUGAAAAAGUCAUCACCAACAAAGUUACAUAACUCAUUAAUAUCUAGAACUUUUAUUUUGGUCAUUUCUUCAUCCGAUAAAGUGAUAGUAGCAUUAUUCACAAAAUUUACAUAUCCCUCUUACAGUUUAUAAACUAUAUAAGAGAUAUGUAUAUUUUGUAAACAAUGUUACAAAUCACUUUGUCGGAUGAAGAAAUGACCCAAAUAAUAGUUAUAGAUCUUCAUGAGUUAUACCACUUUGUUAUUGAUGACUUUUUCAGUUGAAAUC